AAUUCAACACAAUGCCACACAGCCAAACCAUAUUUCUGGAUGCAGCAAAUGUACUGUGACUAGAGUCAUUUGAUAAGCAUUUUUGCAAAAAGGAAACAUUUAAAUAAGAUUUUAAAGGGCUGCUGGGAGAUUUGGGAAGUCAGCACUAGCCCCUCCCUGACUUUUUCUGAACAUCUCUGCGCAAAUUCUUCAUAUUAAGAGACGGGCUUUAAAAGGACCAAAGAAAUGAAAACUAACGGUUAUCUCACGGGCUAGGAGUGUCAAGCCCUUAUCCUACGACUGACUCACGAGACAUAAAUUCAGCCUCUUGAGGGACAGCAAAAAUCUCAAACAGGUCAGCGUGAAAGGACCGAACCUUUCAAGAACCCCUUGGCUUUAAGUUUCAUCUUGUGGCAACACGGUUACUGCCGCCCAAGAAAAAGAAUCGCCCUUCCAAUUUGGUGCGCCUGUGACAGUCUCAGAAUCGUGCCUCUCAGACGCCGCUCGAAGCCUAAGUUUCGUGGCCUCUAGUAGUCAUUUUUUCCUUCAAAUCUCGGCUCGCAGCAUGCAGCGUGGGGGAGGGGAGGAAGGCUUCCUACACACAUCGGCCCCUGGGCUCCAGCUCGCACAAAAGUUUUCUCCCGGCUCAGUGGUGGAAAAUGCGAAGUUUCAGUUGGACGUUGCUGAAAAGAAAGAUAAGAUUUCUUUCUGUCCAAGAUGACGGACCAUCUGCUUCCAUCCAGAGACUCCUUUAGCUCCACUGACCACAGGAUAAGAACCCCUGGGCUGAAUAUUGCAAUUAAAGUGAUUCCAUCACCUGA